AGAGUUUGAUUCUGGCUCAGAAUGAACGUUGGCGGCGUGGAUUAGGCAUGCAAGUCGAGCGAGAACCCGCAAGGGGGACAGCGGCGAACGGGGUAGGACAAUCUAGGUAACGUACCCUCGGGGCGAGGACAGCCACGGGAAACUGUGGGUAAUACUCGAUAAACUUCCCAAUCAUUAUCGGAGGGGAAGCAAUGGGUGUGAUUCCACCUGAGGAGCGGCUUAGACAGUAUCAGCUUGUUGGUGAGGUAACGGCUCACCAAGGCUACGACGCUUAGGGGGUGUGAGAGCAUGGCCCCCACCACUGGCACUGAGACACUGGCCAGACACCUACGGGUGGCUGCAGUCGAGAAUCUUCGGCAAUGGACGCAAGUCUGACCGAGCGACGCCGCGUGCGGGAUGAAGGUCUUCGGAUUGUAAACCGCUGUCAGAGGGGAUGAAGUGUACGGGGGUACUCCCCUGUACUUGACAGAGCCUCAGAGGAAGCACGGGCUAAGUUCGUGCCAGCCGCCGCGGUAA
rnacentral:rRNA from 1 species